GCCAGACUCCUACGGGAGGCAGCAGUGGGGGAUAUUGCACAAUGGGGGGAACCCUGAUGCAGCGACGCCGCGUGGGUGAAGGAGCGUUUCGGCGCGUAAAGCCCUAUCGGCAGGGAAGAAGGAGGACGGUACCUGACUAAGAAGCCCCGGCUAACUACGUGCCAGCAGCCGCGGUAAUACGUAGGGGGCAAGCGUUAUCCGGAUUUACUGGGUGUAAAGGGGGCGCAGACGGCAGCGCAAGCCAGGAGUGAAAGCCCGGGGCCCAACCCCGGGACUGCUCUUGGAACUGCGCGGCUGGAGUGCAGGAGGGGCGGGCGGAAUUCCUGGUGUAGCGGUGAAAUGCGUAGAUAUCAGGAGGAACACCGGUGGCGAAGGCGGCCUGCUGGACGGCGACUGACGUUGAGGCCCGAAAGCGUGGGGAGCAAACAGGAUUAGAUACCCCAGUAGCC
rnacentral:rRNA from 1 species